CAAAGAAUAGUUUAAUUAAGAAUUUUGGCUUUGGGAGCCAGCGGUGGGAGUUAGAAUCUCCCUUCUUUGA
rnacentral:tRNA from 1 species